AGUUAGUUACUAUCUUUGAUUAAAUAUUCAUAUUUUGGAAUUUUACUUACUCGGCAAUGGCAUGGGGAGACUGGAGAGUAAGGAUUGGGGGUGACACUGCAUUGAGUGAUGCCAGAGAAAUUUAUGCAAAAAAAACUUACCAACUUCAUUGAAAAGCGACUCAAGUCAGAAAGGGCUGCUUCUAUUUGGACAAGCACAUUGCAACAAACUAUUGAAAUGGCCAGAAAGUUAGAAAUAGUUUUGUAAGCAAUGUUGUAGAGACUUAUGGCUUGAAAUGGCUAAAAGAUUUAGGUCCUGCAUCGUUUGGAAUAAGCGUAACAAAAGUAUGAUUUAACUUAGUAAGCACUCUCUACCACUACAGAAUAUUUAUUUAUUUUAUUUUGUUGCACAUAAUUAAUUCCCUCCUUGUUGAUAAUCUUAAUCUUCCAUUCUGACAAAAAAGGACAGGGAAGCCAUUUAGACCUGGAGCCUUGAAGGUUUGCAUGGACUUGAUGUUAUCGACCACCUUUUCUGCAAUAGAAAGUAGACAGCUCAACAUUCUCAAUCUCAUCAUUGCACUGCUGAAAGAAACCUUCAAAUCCUCUAGCCAAGAAGGAUUGGAUGAGGUAAAUAGCUCUCUAAAAUUGGCUAAGAAGUAUUCCUCAAUCUCUUUGGAUCAUUUAUCCACUAGUUAUCCAAGUUUAUCAUAUCAAUGUUGUUGGACUUUCUUUGAAUAAUUGUGAAUAAAUGAAUUUUUUUUGUAUUUCUGUCACCUUCUUGAAGCCAAAGUUCUCUAGAUUUUUGUGUUGAUUCUCAAUCAUAACUGCAUUCUCUGGAGUAGAAUCAUUAGCUUGGUAGAGUUCUAGAAGCCGGAGCAAUUCUUGUAUUUUAGAUUGACACCACCCAAAGCACCUUUGUUCCACUUCCUAUGAAUUUACCCUUAACUUGUCCAACUUUCUCAUAAAUUGAAAAUAUAUUGAUCCAUUGACACUCACAUCCCACAAACUUCUAAUUACAUCAUCACUCCUUUCAUCUCUCAACCAAGUAGCCUGGUCUUGAUCUUCUCCCUAAUUUUAUAUUAGAAU